GAAGUUUUUUCUAAUCACAAUGAUAACGUAAUUGGUAAAUGUGGCUAAUAUUUUUUAGAAAAAAAUACCCCUUCUCUGAUGUACCCCUUUCCCUUAAAUUCUUAAGCUCUAAAUGGGUAUUGGCCUGUAAAUUAGCAGCCUAAAAUAAGAUGUAUCAUUAAGGCAGUCAUUUAAAUGUAAUUUAUAAAAUUGAAAAAAUUUGGAAAACCGUCAUUAAUCCCUUUAACCCUGAAUUUAAAGAAUUU